AUCCUUUUGUAGUUCAUAAGAGUGAUGAUUGGGUGUUCACACUGCUGUGUGACAUGUGCCACCCUUAAACCCUGUUACGACGUCAGCACAUUACCCAUCUGAUG